rnacentral:tRNA from 1 species
GGCCGGGUGCCAGAGUGGACAAAUGGAGCGGAUUGCAAAUCCGUUGUCGCAAGACUUCGUGGGUUCGAAUCCCACCCCGGCCU